GACGAACGCUGGCGGCGUGCUUAACACAUGCAAGUCGAACGGUGAAGCGCUUGCCUUUUUGGUGGGUGUGGAUGAGUGGCGAACGGGUGAGUAACACGUGAGUAACCUGCCCUCUUCUUCUGGAUAACCUCAUGAAAGUGGGGCUAAUACGGGGUAUUCCGGGUCUGUCGCAUGGCGGGUUUGGGAAAGAUUGCGCCUUUGGGUGUUUUCGGUGGGGGAUGGGCUCGCGGCCUAUCAGCUUGUUGGUGGGGUGAUGGCCUACCAAGGCGGUGACGGGUAGCCGGCAUGAGAGGGUGGACGGCCACACUGGGACUGAGACACGGCCCAGACUCCUGCGGGAGGCAGCAGUGGGGAAUAUUGCACAAUGGGCGCAAGCCUGAUGCAGCGACGCCGCGUGAGGGAUGGAGGCCUGCGGGUUGUGAACCUCUUUCGCCAGUGAAGCAGGCCUGCCUCGUUUGUGGGUGGGUUGACGGUAGCUGGAUAAGAAGCGCCGGCUAACUACGUG
rnacentral:rRNA from 1 species